GGGGUUUUUUUCCUGAUUGGUUGGUUGUGGUUUUUUAAUUUUUUUUCCUGCUUUUAAUCUGGUUUACCUUCUCUUAGCCACUGUGUCCUUCUUAUGAUUUUUAGUUGGGUAAUAUUGUCUUCUUCACUGAUUUCUUAGCUAAAAUGGCCUCCACGGGUCAAUCUCUCAGGUAGCUCUCAGACCCUCCUCUCCAGCCUAAACUUUCCCAACAGCUGCCUGGAGGUCUCUCCUGCUUGUGUUAAUUCAACACAUUCACUUUGCUCUGGGGCAAAGUUUGAAAAGAAGCAUCAUCUUUUAGUGGAAAGAUGUCACACUGAGAAAAGUCUUGGGAAAAAUCUCAAAACUGACUUUCCAAACAUCCAUAGUUCUGAUGUAAUUAUCUCCUUAACAGACAUAAUUUUCACAACUGAAUAUGUUUUCUUGAGACAUAUUUACCCACAGGUAAAUGAGAGAUUCCAGUCCUCUCUGCUGAAGUGUUGGUUCCACCUCACCUCUCCUACCCACAAAGGAUCCUAACCUUUUCUCACAUUUGGAAGAAAAUAUACAGAAAGCAAGUAGCCCUUCAAGACAACAUUUCAGUCAUGCAAGCUAUCCCACUGCAGAGGGCAUGGAUGAAGAGAGAGAGAAGUUUAUGAGAUGGAAGAAGUAGCUGCGAGAGGUUAUAGCUGAGGCAGCAACAGAGGAGGACGUGCUUUGAAGACAUUCAGCACUGUUUCAUGAGAACAGAGACUGUUGACUUAAUGGAGACUGAUUCAAGUUGUUAAUACAAGCUAAAUGUUUAUCAUACCCCAGUUUAUACCAAACGUUAUAAUACUUUUCCCCUCACAUUUAUCCCCUAUUUUUUUAUUGGUUGUAAUUUGCUGCAUUGCAGAUACUCCCCUCAUCGGCUCUCGCUAACCCUUCGUUCCCUCCUUCCUAAUUGGCUGUUGUUCCUGCCUGUCCCAUGCUCCUCCCCAGUCUCUAGAACUUUCCUAUGUGACCCUAUAAAUAGAGCUAGCCCCCAGAAUAAAGGUGUGAUAGCUUUGAGCUACCACUCUGUUCAAA